rnacentral:lncRNA from 1 species
AAAACACCCCAAAAAUCCCAAAUCCCUCUAAUCUUCAUUGUCCAAUGCCCAAUUAGAAAGAUCUGGAAAUGCAGCUCUUUAUUAAAGGCCCUAAAUCUGAGAAUAAUUUAUAAUAAAAUUUCCUCUGGCAGAACAUUCCCACAACACCCAGAACAAUAAUUUCCCUUAAUCCCAUAUUGGAAGGGCUUCCUGCCUUUGGGAUUUUUGUGGUACAGCACUCUAACUCUUGAAAAAGCUGAAUUUUGUUGUAUUUUUUUUUUUCCCUAGCCUGAUCAAAACAACUUUUCGAUGUUUUCUCGCUGCAUUAACAGGCUGGAAUUGCUACUAGAAGUAUCAGCCAAUUAGCAACUCUUUAAUCUCCUGCAUUGUUUGUCACCACGGUGUGACAAAGUGACAGCCUGCCACGCUAAUUAGCUGCCUUCUGCGAGGGGAAAAUUGCUCUUGUUUGACAAAUAAUUCAAGUUAAAGAAGGACGAGGAAGUCUGAAAACAAAGUUAUUCAUGCAAAGACACAUCAGAGAGCACCCAGGGGCUCAGCUCCUGUGGGAGUGCAGGUGGAACUCUGCCUUCUCAUCUGAGCACUCCACUCUGGAAAGAUUUGGGAGAAGCACAAGAAGAUUUGGAAGAGCCACAAAAAAUGAUGAAAGGACUAAAGAGAUUGAUGACUUGAGGGGUGAAGAAUUACUAAGGGAGCUAAAUCUGAAUUGCUUGCCCAUGUAAAUGAUGGAUCCCAAACAUUCCAGGAGCUCUCCCGGGUCCGUGAUGGAUUGGGUGGAAUGAAGGAAGGGGAUGGAAAGAAUGAUGAUCUGCUGGGGUGGCAGGAGCAGUGAUUUUGGAUUAGAUCAGCAGGAUGGGAGCAACAUCUCCUCUCUGGCAGCUCAUGCUGACAAAAAAAAACCAAGGCAAAGGAAUCUCUGCUGGGUAAUUAUGGAUUUAUCUGUCUGAGGAGAGGAGUUUGUAGGUUUGAGUCUAUGGAUGGGAAGGUGGAAAGUAAUUAGGACAAAAGUAAGUUUUAUAAAAGGUUUGAUAAUUUGUAUGGCCACAGAAUCCUUGGUUAAUUCACCAAAUCUGACUGGGAAUUUUAGGAUUUUGGUGUCCAGCUCUGACAGAUUUGGGACAGCAGCUGCUGGAAAUUCACUGUAAAACUUCCCAAUACUCACAG